GAGUGAGCAGAGCAGCAUGCUGGAACUCCUGCGCCAGCGGCUCCCCGCACCGCCCUCGGGGGCAGAAAGCUCCGGCUCACUGUCCCUGACGGCGCCAACACCAGAGCAAGAGUCGUCACGCAUCCGCAAGCUCGAGAAACUCAUUAAAAAGAGACUGUAGCAGCAGCAAGGGGCCCUUUGCUCCUGGCUGGAGACCCUCAGCGCCCGUUCCCCAGAAGCCCCCAACCUCUCCUGUGCUCCCCGGCACUCUCACUGCAACCUCCGCCUCCCAGGUUCAAGCAAUUCUCCUGCCUCAGCCUCCUGAGUAUCGGAUUACAGGCGUGAGCCACCGAGCCCAGCCCCUUCCUCCAUUUCUUUACUCCCACCCUGCUCCUGGUUUCUAGGGAAGGGAAACCAGGAAGUUCACUUGGAAGACGUUUCCUAGGUUUUCUCAUCAGAUGAAGCCAUGGGAACGCCCAGGAAGUCCAUACUCUCAAACCCCUUUCUGCCCACUCACCUUCAGGUCCACAGCACUUUCCAGCGUCAUCUGAAAUAGCAAAGGUGAUGUGCAGCAUCCCAGUGAUGUGUUCCUGUGUUAUGAGAAGGAGUCUGGGGUUCUGGAUGCCUCAGGAACAGAAUAUGGACCUUAAAGACCAGGCUGAGAGCCUGGCCUGGCACGCAGCCUGCCCGCCCCCCCCGCCCUUCCUGUCCACCGCGGGCUCUCUGCAGCAGGGCUUGCCGAAGAGACUGCUCCCGACCUCUCAUGUCAUCCUGCAUCCAGAGAAUGGCAGCAUAUCAAGCCGUUAACCCUGAUUCACUCGGUUCCCUUGAAACCAGGCCUCAGUUAACCAUGACCACAGCUACAGGCAAACCGCUGCUGUUGCUGCCUGCUUUUGCUGAAGAAUGAUAUCUUGCCAGGCACGGCGGCUCAUGCCUGUAGUCGCAACACUUUGGGAGACCAAGGCAGGAGGAUCACUUGAGUCCAGGAGUUUGAGACCAGCCUGGGCAACAUACAGAUGUCUACAAAAAUAAAAAUUUGCAAGGUGUGGUGGCAUGCACCUGUAGUCCCAACUGCUAGGGAGGCUGAGGUGGGCAGAUUGCUUGAGCUCAGGAGUUUGAGACCAGUCUGGGCAACCUGGCAAAACC
rnacentral:lncRNA from 10 species